AACGAACGCUGGCGGCAUGCCUAACACAUGCAAGUCGAACGAGACCUUCAGGUCUAGUGGCGCACGGGUGCGUAACGCGUGGGAACCUGCCCUUAGGUUCGGAAUAACUCCCCGAAAGGGGUGCUAAUACCGGAUAAUGUCUUCGGACCAAAGAUUUAUCGCCUUUGGAUGGGCCCGCGUUGGAUUAGCUAGUUGGUAGGGUAAAAGCCUACCAAGGCGACGAUCCAUAGCUGGUCUGAGAGGAUGAUCAGCCACACUGGGACUGAGACACGGCCCAGACUCCUAUGGGAGGCAGCAGUGGGGAAUAUUGGACAAUGGGCGAAAGCCUGAUCCAGCAAUGCCGCGUGAGUGAUGAAGGCCUUAGGGUUGUAAAGCUCUUUUACCCGGGAUGAUAAUGACAGUACCGGGAGAAUAAGCUCCGGCUAACUCCGUG
rnacentral:rRNA from 1 species